rnacentral:rRNA from 1 species
UACGUAGGUGGCGAGCGUUGUCCGGAUUUACUGGGCGUAAAGAGCGCGCAGGCGGUCGUUCAAGUCGCGUGUGAAAGCCCCCGGCUCAACUGGGGAGGGUCACGCGAUACUGAUCGACUCGAAGGCAGGAGAGGGUAGUGGAAUUCCCGGUGUAGUGGUGAAGUGCGUAGAUAUCUGGAGGAACACCGGUGGCGAAGGCGGCAUCCUGGACCGACACUGACGCUGAGGAGCGAAAGCCAGGGGAGCAAACGGG